rnacentral:rRNA from 1 species
GUCUACAUCCAUAUCACCCUGAACGUGCCCGAUCUCAUCUGAUCUCGGAAGCUAAGCAGGGUUGGGCCUGGUUAGUACUUGGAUGGGAGACAUUGUAGCACUAACUGAAUGCUGAGUAUU